CGGAAGUGGGUGAGGGACUCUAAAAGACAGCCUACUUAACAGAUAGUAAGACUGAGGUCCAGCAGCGACAGGCUUCAUGCCCAACAUGGGACUUGAACUCAUGACCUGAGAUCAAGAGUCACGUGCUCUGCAGACUGAGCCAGCCAGCACCCCUAUAAUUAAUUCACUACUUACUUUGCUGCCCCUUUAGGUUAGCUUCUAUGUUCUUUUAAUAUGUCUUCAUCUUUGGGGCUCCUGGGUGGCUCAGUUGGUUAAGUGUCUGACUCUUGAUUUCAGCUCAGGUCGUGAUUUCAGGGUCAUGGGAUCAGGCUCUGUGCUCAGGGGGGGGGGGCUGCUUGAGAGUCUCUCUCUCCCUUUCCCUCUGCCUGUCCCCACAAAUAAAUAUUUUAAAAAAUA